rnacentral:antisense_RNA from 1 species
UAAGUCACGGCCCCGGACUCUGCUAUCUUCCGCCAAGUUGAUAGAGCAGGUUCGGGGUUUUGCUUUU